AUUGAACGCUGGCGGCAUGCCCUACACAUGCAAGUCGAACGGUAACGCGGGGCAACCUGGCGACGAGUGGCGAACGGGUGAGUAAUGUAUCGGAACGUGCCCAGUUGUGGGGGAUAACUGCUCGAAAGAGCAGCUAAUACCGCAUACGACCUGAGGGUGAAAGCGGGGGAUCGCAAGACCUCGCGCAAUUGGAGCGGCCGAUGUCAGAUUAGGUAGUUGGUGGGGUAAAGGCCCACCAAGCCAACGAUCUGUAGCUGGUCUGAGAGGACGACCAGCCAGACUGGGACUGAGACACGGCCCAGACUCCUACGGGAGGCAGCAGUGGGGAAUUUUGGACAAUGGACGCAAGUCUGAUCCAGCCAUGCCGCGUGCGGGAAGAAGGCCUUCGGGUUGUAAACCGCUCUUGUCAGGGAAGAAAAGGGCGACUCUAAUACAGUUGCCUCAUGACGGUACCUGAAGAAUAAGCACCGGCUAACUACGUGCCAGCAGCCGCCGCAGUAA
rnacentral:rRNA from 1 species